rnacentral:rRNA from 1 species
UACGGAGGGUGCGAGCGUUGUCCGAAAUCAUUGGGCGUAAAGGGCGCGUAGGUGGCCCGGUCAGUUCGUGGUGAAAGCGCGGGGCUCAACCCUGCGUCGGCCAUGAAUACUGCCGCGGCUGGAGCACUGUAGAGGCAGGCGGAAUUCCGGGUGUAGCGGUGGAAUGCGUAGAGAUCCGGAAGAACACCGGUGGCGAAGGCGGCCUGCUGGGCAGUUGCUGACACUGAGGCGCGACAGCGUGGGGAGCAAACAGG